GCACUGCCUUUGAGCCCCCACUGCACCUGCACAUGGCUUAGGGGGUCAAGCUGCGGCGCCACAGAAUGCGCUUGCGCAUAACUGGGGCUGCUUGUUUUAUUA
rnacentral:snoRNA from 1 species